rnacentral:rRNA from 1 species
UUUUGUCUGGCUCCAGAUUGAACGCUGGCGGAUGCUUUACACAUGCAAGUCAGGCGGCAGCCUGGACUUCGGUCUGGUGGCGAGUGGCGAACGGGUGAGUAAUGUAUCGGAACGUGCCUAGUAGCGGGGAUAACUACGCGAAAGCGUAGCUAAUACCGCAUACGCCCUUCGAGGAAAGCGGGGGACCUUCGGGCCUGCACUAUUGAAACGGCCGAUAUCGGAUUAGCUAGUUGGUGGGGUAACGGCUCGCAAGGCGACGAUCCGUAGCUGGUUUGAGAGGACGACCAGCUACACUGGGACCGAGACACGGCCCAGACUCCUACGGGAGAGCAGCAGUGGGGAAUUUGGACAAUGGGGGAAACCUGAUCCAGCCAUCCCGCGUGUGCGUCGAGCCUUCGGAUUGUAAAAGCACUUUUGGCAGGAAAAAGCAGCACCAGGAUAAUACCCCGUGCAACUGACGGUACCUGCAGAAUAACGCAAGCCUUCACGUGCCAGCAGCCGCGGUAAUACGUAGGGUGCAAGCGUUAAUCCAGAUUACUGGGCGUGGCGUGCUGCGACGGUUGAAGAAGAUGUGAAAUCCAGAGCUUAACGGAACUGCAUUUUUAACUACCGAGCUGAAAUUGUGUCAGAGGAGGUGAAUUCCGCGUGUAGCAGUGAAAUGCGUAGAUGUGCGGAGAACACCGAUGGCAGCAGCCUGGGAUACUGACGCUCCAUGCAGCGUACAGGGAGCAAACAGGAUUAGAUACCCUGAUGAUCCCACGCCCUAAACGAUGUCAACUAGCUGUUGGGCCUUCAGGCUGGCAAUGGCUUCAACUAACGCGUGAGAUUGACCGCCUGGAGCGGUCGCCGUUAAGGCUCAAAGGAAUUGGCGGGAUUGCCACAAGCGGUGGAUGAUGUGGAUUAAUUCGAUGCAACGCGAAAAACCUCUACCUUGACAUGUCUGGAAUCCCGAAGAGAUUUGGGUGCUGCUGAAAACCGGAACACAGGUGCUGCAUGGCUGUCGUCAGCUCGUGUCGUGAGAUGUUGGGUUAAGUCCCGCAACGAGCGCAACCCUUGUCAUUAGUUGCUACGAAAGGGCACUCUAAUGAGACUGCCGGUGACAAACCCGGAGGAAGAUGAGACGGCGUCAAGUCCUCAUGUGUCGCAGGUGCGACACACGUCAUACAAUGGUCGGGACAGGGGUCGCCAACCCGCGAGGGGAGCCGUCGAAACCCGGGUGUCUUGAGUCGGAUCGCGGUCUGCUCGGCUGCGUGAAGUCGGAAUCGCUAGUAAUCGCGGAUCAGCAUGUCGCGGUGAAUACGUUCCCGGGUCUUGUACACACCGCCAAUGCACCUGUGGGAGUGGGUUUUACCAGAAGUAGUUAGCCUAACCGUAAGGAGGGCAGUUACCACACAGUAGGAUUCAUGACUGAGGUGAAGUCGUAACAAGAUAA